ACGCUCGACACCUACGGGUGGCAGCAGUGGGGAAUAUUGCACAAUGGGGGAAACCCUGAUGCAGCAACGCCGCGUGAAGGAAGACGGUUUUCGGAUUGUAAACUUCUGUUCUUAGUGAAGAUAGUGACGGUAGCUAAGGAGCAAGCCACGGCUAACUACGUGCCAGCAGCCGGGUAAUCUGAGCGGGCUGGCAAGGC
rnacentral:rRNA from 1 species